GGCCCCAUCGUCUAACGGUUAGGNNCAUCAGGUUCUCAUCCUGGAAAUCCGGGUUCGAUUCCCGGUGGGGUCACCA
rnacentral:tRNA from 1 species